GUUUUUGACCACACCGGCCUGAGUACGCCUGAUCUCGUCUGAUCUCGGAAGCUAAGCAGGGUCGGGCCUGGUUAGUACUUGGAUGGGAGACUUCCUGGGAAUACCAGGUGCUGUAAGCU
ensembl:rRNA 5S_rRNA 5S ribosomal RNA